rnacentral:rRNA from 1 species
GACGUAGGGCGCGAGCGUUGUCCGGAUUUAUUGGGCGUAAAGAGCUCGUAGGCGGUUUGCGCGUCUGCUGUGAAAUCCCGAGGCUCAACCUCGGGCCUGCAGUGGGUACGGGCAGACUGGAGUGCGGUAGGGGAGAAUGGAAUUCCUGGUGUAGCGGUGAAAUGCGCAGAUAUCAGGAGGAACACCGGUGGCGAAGGCGGUUCUCUGGGCAUGACCUGACGCUGAGGAGCGAAAGUGUGGGAGCGAACAGG